GGUGGGACAGAUGAUUAGGGUGAAGUCGUAACAAGGUAGCCGUAGGAGAACCUGCGGCUGGAUCACCUCCUUUCUAAGGAAUA
rnacentral:rRNA from 1 species